CUGAUCCCUUCCCGAACUCAGAAGUGAAACCUCUUAGCGCUGAUGGUAGUGUGGGGUUACCCAUGUGAGAGUAAGUCAUCGCCAGCUC
rnacentral:rRNA from 5 species